rnacentral:rRNA from 1 species
AUAACGGUGCCCGUACCGCAAACCGACACAGGUAGUCAAGAUGAGAAUUCUAAGGUGAGCGAGCGAACUCUCGUUAAGGAACUCGGCAAAAUGACCCCGUAACUUCGGGAGAAGGGGUGCUCUUUGAGGUUCACGCUUCGAAGAGCCGCAGUGAAUAGGCCCAAGCGACUGUUUAUCAAAAACACAGGUCUCUGCUAAACCGUAAGGUGACGUAUAGGGGCUGACGCCUGCCCGGUGCUGGAAGGUUAAGAGGAGUGGUUAGCGCAAGCGAAGCUACGAAUCGAAGCCCCAGUAAACGGCGGCCGUAACUAUAACGGUCCUAAGGUAGCGAAAUUCCUUGUCGGGUAAGUUCCGACCCGCACGAAAGGCGUAACGAUUUGGGCACUGUCUCAACGAGAGACUCGGUGAAAUCAUAGUACCGGUGAAGAUGCCGGUUACCCGCGACAGGACGGAAAGACCCCGUGGAGCUUUACUGUAGCCUGAUAUUGAAAUUCGGUACAGUUUGUACAGGAUAGGUAGGAGCCUUAGAAGCGUGAGCGCUAGCUUACGUGGAGGCAUUGGUGGGAUACUACCCUAAUUGUAUUGGAUUUCUAACCCGCAGCACUUAUCGUGCUGGGAGACAGUGUCAGGCGGGCAGUUUGACUGGGGCGGUCGCCUCCUAAAGAGUAACGGAGGCGCUCAAAGGUUCCCUCAGAAUGGUUGGAAAUCAUUCAUAGAGUGUAAAGGCAUAAGGGAGCUUGACUGCGAGACCUACAAGUCGAGCAGGGUCGAAAGACGGACUUAGUGAUCCGGUGGUUCCGCAUGGAAGGGCCAUCGCUCAACGGAUAAAAGCUACCCCGGGGAUAACAGGCUUAUCUCCCCCAAGAGUUCACAUCGACGGGGAGGUUUGGCACCUCGAUGUCGGCUCAUCGCAUCCUGGGGCUGUAGUCGGUCCCAAGGGUUGGGCUGUUCGCCCAUUAAAGCGGUACGCGAGCUGGGUUCAGAACGUCGUGAGACAGUUCGGUCCCUAUCCGUCGUGGGCGUAGGAAAUUUGAGAGGAGCUGUCCUUAGUACGAGAGGACCGGGAUGGACAUACCUCUGGUGUACCAGUUGUCGUGCCAACGGCAUAGCUGGGUAGCUAUGUAUGGACGGGAUAAGUGCUGAAAGCAUCUAAGCAUGAAGCCCCCCUCGAGAUGAGAUUUCCCAACUUCGGUUAUAAG